rnacentral:SRP_RNA from 1 species
UCGCGCAAUCCAAGGUUUCCAACCGUGUCAGGUCCGAAAGGAAGCAGCACUCCGAUUCCGCGGAUGUGCCGCGAAAAUCCGGCCUUCC